AGUGAACGCUGGCGGUGGGCCUAACACAUGCCAGUCGAACGGCAGCACAGUAAUAUCGUGCUCUUACGGGUUGCGAGUGGCGGACGUGUGAGGUAUACAUCGUAAUCUACUUUUUCGUGUGGGAUAACGUAGGGAAACUUACUCUAAUACCGCAUACGACCUACGGGUGAGAGCAUUGGAUCUUUUGACCGUGCGCGAUUGAAUGAGCCGCUGUCGGAUUAGCUAGUUGGCGGGUUAAAUGCCCAGCAAGUCGACGAUCCGUAGCUGGUCUGAGAGGCGGGUCACCCACACUAGAACUGAGACACGGUCAAGACUACUACGAGAGGCAGCAGACGGGAAUAGUGGACAGUGGGCGGAAGUAUGGUCCAGCCAUACCACGUGGGUGAAAGAAGCCUUCGGGUUGUAAAGACCUUCUGUUGGGAAAGAACAGCAGCAGCUUGAUACGAAGCGGUUGUGACGGUAACCAAAGAAUAAGCACCGGCUAACUUCGUG
rnacentral:rRNA from 1 species